rnacentral:rRNA from 1 species
UACGAAGGGGGCUAGCGUUGUUCGGAAUUACUGGGCGUAAAGCGCGCGCAGGCGGCUAUCCAAGUCAGUGGUGAAAGCCCGGAGCUCAACUCCGGAACUGCCUUCGAAACUGGGAAUCUUGAGUCCGGGAGAGGUGAGUGGAACUGCGAGUGUAGAGGUGAAAUUCGUAGAUAUUCGCAAGAACACCAGUGGCGAAGGCGGCUCACUGGCCCGGUACUGACGCUGAGGUGCGAAAGCGUGGGGAGCAAACAGG